CUUGUUACAAUUAUGUUUUAUCAACGAUUGUAUACCAUCCAACUUUGAGUAUGUCGUGUCCUGGUGGUUGAGUAUUAACAAUACACACGUAACGAGUCAUCGAGGACGAGGAAUACGUUCAUUUAUAUUUUUUUCACCUGUAAAUUAAUUUUUGCGUAAAAAUCAUAUAAAUACGCGACUUCUCGUCUUCGAUGCCCAAAUUGUUUGUUUCGACUGCUACUUGGCAUUUUCUGGCGAUACUGUAUACCGGCUAGAGCUAAUUGGGCGUGAAUUUAGUAUGAAUAGGUCGCCAUCUGACGCGAAGAGUUUGUAAACCAACUUUAAACUCGAUUUACUUCACGACGUUGCUCUAUGGAAUAUGUAGAAAGGUACUUUGACCAAGAAGGUGGACAAAGAAGUGACGGAAUAAAGAGGAAUUUAUUAUGUUCGGGGAUUAAAUUGCACGUCAACGCAUGUUUUUAUCAUUGGAAGGACGUCCAAUGAUAAAUGUCCUUCGAUCUACCUUUUAAAAUGUUGAAUUAAUUGGAAAUGGACUACAAACCCUGAACGAGAGAUGCGACCUUUGGUGUAAGAGAAUAAAGAUAAACGUGUAAUUUGCCUACGGAAAAGUGUACGUACGACUGUGAUUACGAGUGUCAUCAAUCGUGAGAAAGUAUGUAUAUACUCGCGACCUUUUACAUCGUCACCGUUAAUUCACAACGUCCUCGCAAUAAAUUAGGACGAAACUCACGGUCAGCUUACUAUGUACUUGCCUACGUGCCCGGUGAACAUGGCUAGAUCUAUCGAUGGAAAAUAAACGGUAUAC